rnacentral:rRNA from 1 species
UGAGCAAUCUGCCCUUCUCAUCGGAAUAAGCGUUGGAAACGACGUCUAAUGCCGAAUACGACCUCCUUUCGCAUGAUCGGAGGUGGAAAGCUCCGGCGGAGAAGGAUGAGCUCGCGGCCUACCAGCUAGUUGGUGUGGGUAACGGCCCACAAGGCGACGACGGGUAGCCGGCCUGAGAGGGCGACCGGCCACACGUGGGACUGAGAUACGGCCCAGACUCCGUACGGGAGCAGCAGG